UCUUAUAAGUAUCUUUGAUCGCAUCAUGUGUGUUGGAUGUGGGAACAUCAGGUGCUGGAUCUAUAAUCAUAUUUAGGAUCCAUUCGUGCUCUAAAACUAUUUGUAACUUUUGAUACCAUUUAUCGAAGUUGGAUCCUAUAAGUUACUAUCAAAUAGUGAAUGGAGCAAUAGACAUCUAGCCAUAACUAAAAAAAAUAUACGAGAUCUCUAUGUUUAUGAAUUAAUUAAGUCUAAAGACUUGGACUUUAGUCUAAAGGUUCUUCCACUAUUUUGGUCGAAUUGAUACCCUCUACCUCUAAUCUGAGAAAUUACUCUAAUUCCUUAGC
rnacentral:lncRNA from 1 species